UGGCUCAGGAUGAACGCUGGCGGCGCGCCUAACACAUGCAAGUCGAACGAGCGAGAGAGAGCUUGCUUUCUCGAGCGAGUGGCGAACGGGUGAGUAACGCGUGAGGAACCUGCCUCAAAGAGGGGGACAACAGUUGGAAACGACUGCUAAUACCGCAUAAGCCCACGACCCGGCAUCGGGUUGAGGGAAAAGGAGCAAUCCGCUUUGAGAUGGCCUCGCGUCCGAUUAGCUAGUUGGUGAGGUAACGGCCCACCAAGGCAACGAUCGGUAGCCGGACUGAGAGGUUGAACGGCCACAUUGGGACUGAGACACGGCCCAGACUCCUACGGGAGGCAGCAGUGGGGAAUAUUGCACAAUGGGGGAAACCCUGAUGCAGCGACGCCGCGUGGAGGAAGAAGGUCUUCGGAUUGUAAACUCCUGUUGUUGAGGAAGAUAAUGACGGUACUCAACAAGGAAGUGACGGCUAACUACGUGCCAGCAGCCGCGGUAAAACGUAGGUCACAAGCGUUGUCCGGAAUUACUGGGUGUAAAGGGAGCGCAGGCGGGAAGACAAGUUGGAAGUGAAAUCUAUGGGCUCAACCCAUAAACUGCUUUCAAAACUGUUUUUCUUGAGUAGUGCAGAGGUAGGCGGAAUUCCCGGUGUAGCGGUGGAAUGCGUAGAUAUCGGGAGGAACACCAGUGGCGAAGGCGGCCUACUGGGCACCAACUGACGCUGAGGCUCGAAAGUGUGGGUAGCAAACAGGAUUAGAUACCCUGGUAGUCCACACCGUAAACGAUGAUUACUAGGUGUUGGAGGAUUGACCCCUUCAGUGCCGCAGUUAACACAAUAAGUAAUCCACCUGGGGAGUACGACCGCAAGGUUGAAACUCAAAGGAAUUGACGGGGGCCCGCACAAGCAGUGGAGUAUGUGGUUUAAUUCGACGCAACGCGAAGAACCUUACCAAGUCUUGACAUCCUGCGACGUGCAUAGAAAUAUGUAUUUCCUUCGGGACGCAGAGACAGGUGGUGCAUGGUUGUCGUCAGCUCGUGUCGUGAGAUGUUGGGUUAAGUCCCGCAACGAGCGCAACCCUUACUGUCAGUUACUACGCAAGAGGACUCUGGCAGGACUGCCGUUGACAAAACGGAGGAAGGUGGGGAUGACGUCAAAUCAUCAUGCCCUUUAUGACUUGGGCUACACACGUACUACAAUGGCGUUAAACAAAGAGAGGCAAGACCGCGAGGUGGAGCAAAA
rnacentral:rRNA from 1 species